rnacentral:rRNA from 1 species
UUCUGAUUUGUAAGACUACGAUCGAGCAUGCAGGAUGUUCAUAUCAGACGAGGUAGGAUCAGCAUCAGUCUCGUAGUCUUCUUUACUAGCGCUAGGAUGAUGGAAUUUACAUUCAGUACUAUGAGAGUCAAGUCCUUGGUUCUGGGGGAGUAUGUCGCAGACUGAACUUAAGGAAUUGACGGAGGGCACCACAGGAGUGAGCUGCGCUUAUUUGACUCACACGGGAAACUUACCAGGUCCAGACAUAGUAAGGAUUGACAGACUGAUAGCUCUUUCUGAUUCUGUGGGUGGUGGUGCAUGGCCCGUUCUUAGUUGGUGGAGUGAUUUGUCUGUUACUCCGCUCCCCCCCCUCUCCGUACCGCUAUUAGUCGUCCCCAUUUUAUGGAUAUGACUUCUUAGAGGGACUAUGCAUAUCAAGUGCAUGGAAGUUGAGGCAAUAACAGGUCAGUGAUGCCCUUAUAUGUCCUGGGCAAAAAAGCGUGCUACACUGAUGCAUACAACAAGUGCCUAGCUAGACAUAGUAUGGCAAUCUGGAAUAUGCAUCGUGAUGGGGAUAGAUCUUUGCAAUUAUAGAUCUUGAACGAGGAAUUCCUAGUAAGUGCAAGUCAUCCUCUCGCAUUGAUUAUGUCCCUGCCCUUUGUACACACCGCCCGUCGCUCCUACCGAUACCGGGUGAUCCGGUGAACCUUUUGGACCUCGCAAGAGGAAAAAUAAGUAAACCAUAUCACCUAGAGGAAGGAGAAGUCGUACUCAACGGUUUCCUUUUAACUCAAGACAAAUCGGCUCCCUUGCCGAAAAGGCG